AGUGAACGCUGGCGGUAGGCCUAACACAUGCAAGUCGAACGGCAGCACAGUAAGAGCUUGCUCUUACGGGUGGCGAGUGGCGGACGGGUGAGGAAUACAUCGGAAUCUACUUUUUCGUGGGGGAUAACGUAGGGAAACUUACGCUAAUACCGCAUACGACCUACGGGUGAAAGCAGGGGAUCUUCGGACCUUGCGCGAUUGAAUGAGCCGAUGUCGGAUUAGCUAGGUGGCGGGGUAAAGGCCCACCAAGGCGACGAUCCGUAGCUGGUCUGAGAGGAUGAUCCGCCACACUGGAACUGAGACACGGUCCAGACUCCUACGGGAGGCAGCAGUGGGGAAUAUUGGACAAUGGGCGCAAGCCUGAUCCAGCCAUACCGCGUGGGUGAAGAAGGCCUUCGGGUUGUAAAGCCCUUUUGUUGGGAAAGAAAAGCAGCAGGUUAAUACCCCGCUGUUCUGACGGUACCCAAAGAAUAAGCACCGGCUAACUUCGUG
rnacentral:rRNA from 1 species